rnacentral:misc_RNA from 1 species
UUGUGAUACUACAGGAAGAGAGAUCUAUAUAUAUCUCUCUCAAAUAAUGGUUAAUUAAAUCGGCAACGAAAACAAUGCUUUUUGGCUUGAGAAAUUGCAUAAUUGCUGUGUUUCUAAUGGAAAGCAUUCCCCUCCUUUUUUGUAUUUUAUUUAAUAUUUCCACGCGAAAAGCUUCCAAAGUCUUCUCUUUCUCUCCAUUCAACUUUGAGGUAA